GUUAAUAAAAGAGGGAAACGGAAAAUGUUGAGAAGUAAAAAUAUCGGAUUCAUAGAAUUAACUUAUUGUGCCAUUUCGGACAUCUUGUCAGGUAAAUUGAGAGAGGAUUAAAGGGGUUAGAAAGGUACUACCAUGGGAAGACCGACCCCGCUGUACACAGGUAGCCGAUUCAAUCCGGUCCUAAUUCACCCCCACCCUUACCAAAUAAAAACCCUUAACUGUUGUACACCGACUCUCAACAAUCAUUUCGCAUCCGUCCACCGCCCGAAAUGGAACUGAAAAUAUUGCAAGUUCUUCUCGACCAGGCUGUCCGACGAACGAAAAAAGCCUGGCAGACUGGUAAGAAGAAGAGGAAGAACGAAGCGAGUAAGAACUUUGACCCAACGGAACAUUUCCUCCGAUGCCCGGACCUGAUGGCAAUCGGUCAAUACAAGAGGAGAGAUUUCGUCAAACAAGUCUUUGCCUCUACACCAAAGUCGCACAGAAAGCAACGGUUAGAUUGCUUAAACACUUGCCCAUUGUCGCCGAUCGCGUUGAGAUCCGAGCCAAAGCUCAGGAAUGAUGAGUUUAGAAAGUACUUCAUAGCGUAAAAGCCAGAUUUUGACAACAAAACAUCUACCCGGGACCAGAAUGAGCUUUAACAUUUGACAACAAAACAUCUACCCGGGACCAGAAUGAGCUUUAACAUUUGACAAAUUAUGCAAUUUAGAGUGCAAUGUGAUAUAUUGAUAAGUGUAUAAUAAAUAAUUUAAUGAACAAUUUAAAUGACUCUUUAUUUUUAA